rnacentral:rRNA from 1 species
CCCUUAGAUGUCCUGGGCCGCACGCGCGCUACACUGAUGCAUUCAACGAGUUUACCUUGGCCGAGAGGCCUGGGCAAUCUUUUAAACCUGCAUUGUGAUAGGGAUAGAUUAUUGCAAUUAUUAAUCUUGAACGAGGAAUUCCUAGUAAACGCAGAUCAUCGAUCUGCAUUGAUUACGUCCCUGCCCUUUGUACACACCGCCCGUCGCUCCUACCGAUUGAAUGAUCCGAUGAAUAUCAUGGAUUGAGGAUGCAAGUAGGUUAGCCUAUCUUCAUCUUCGAGAAGUGAAGUAAAUCUUAUCAUUUAGAGGAAGGAGAAGUCGUAACA